UGGUUCAACUUCCAAGGCUUCAAUAUCCGACGUGAUCUCUAAGCGGUAGACGUAUACUGGUGAGAUUAGCGCCCUCUAGUGCCUGGAGGUUGCAAGCACCUGUAUUGGAACAAACAGCAGUUUGUCCCUUUUUGCAAAACAAGCAGUUCCAUCCCUCUCCACACUCUUUUCAUCACAAAAGCUUCCAUGCCCGCGUCACUGAGAUGCCAAAUGCCACUUUCCUGGGGCUCAGCCACUGCGCCUUUGUUAGGGGAUUGCAUGCGAACAAAGAGUGAAUAAACAGCGGUUUGAAAAUAGCUACCUAAGGGAAGGCUCUUAAAGGAGCCCCGACGCUGACUCACAAAGGGAGCUCUUGUUCCUGAUUACUUUCUGCAAACUGAACAUUCCCGGCUCACGUCAUGCCGGAGAGUAGAAAUUCUGGGAAAGCGGCCAAAUUUGGAAGCCCAGAAUCCGUAGGACCCUUCUCUGCGGUUAGAGCGUGUCCCGUGACAUCUAUUCCCUGUCUUGGUUGCUCCAUUCCUGGCAGGAGAGGGGUUAACAGUCUAGAUAUGUAAUUAAAUUAUGGUGCUUAUAAAAUA